CUUUUCGGAUGUGCCGGGAGCAGGGGGCGGCCACACAACAGCAGAGGUGGUGCCUGGUUCCCCCUAGACCAGAUGUGAACGAGUGUGCAGACGGUGCCCACCCCCCCUGCCACGCCUCUGCGAGGUGCAGAAACACCAAGGGCGGCUUCCAGUGCCUCUGCGCGGACCCCUACGAGUUAGGAGACGAUGGGAGAACCUGCGUAG
rnacentral:sRNA from 1 species